rnacentral:rRNA from 1 species
GACGAACGCUGGCGGCGUGCCUAAUACAUGCAAGUCAAGCGGACAGAAGGGAGCUUGCUCCCGGAAGUUAGCGGCGGACGGGUGAGUAACACGUGGGCAACCUACCCUGUAGAUCGGGAUAACAUCGAGAAAUCGGUGCUAAUACCGGAUAAUCAUUUGAAGUGCAUGCUUCGGAUGUAAAAGAUGGCUCCGGCUAUCACUACGGGAUGGGCCCGCGGCGCAUUAGCUAGUUGGUAAGGUAAUGGCUUACCAAGGCAACGAUGCGUAGCCGACCUGAGAGGGUGAUCGGCCACACUGGGACUGAGACACGGCCCAGACUCCUACGGGAGGCAGCAGUAGGGAAUCUUCCGCAAUGGACGAAAGUCUGACGGAGCAACGCCGCGUGAGUGAUGAAGGUUUUCGGAUCGUAAAGCUCUGUUGUUAGGGAAGAACAAGUGCCGUUUGAAUAAGGCGGCACCUUGACGGUACCUAACCAGAAAGCCACGGCUAACUACGUGCCAGCAGCCGCCGUAAGAC